AUUUGAUUUGGUUAAAGGGAAAAAUUACCUUAUUUUUUUAUACAAUAUUUUAAAAAUCUAAAGUAGAAAAUUUAAUUUAAUUAAUAAUAAAAUGUUAUUAAGAAUAAGGUAAAAUUCUAGCUAAAUUUGUGCCAGCAGCAGCGGUUAAACAAAUAGAAAUCUUCUUUUUUUAAAAUGUUUAUUUUCUUUUAAUUUUUUUUUUUUAAAAAAAAGGUGAAAUUUAUUUUAAUUUAAUUUUUAUUAAUAAACAAAAACUCUUAUUGUAAACUAGGAUUAGAUACCCUAUUAUUAAGAACAAAAAAUUGUUAGUAAAUAUUAAAUAUGAAAGCAAAAAAUUAUGGCGGUAUCUUAAGCUUUUCAGAGGAAUUUGCUCUUUAAUGGAUAUAACACCCUAAUCUUACUUAAACUAGUAAAUACAGUUUGUAUACCACUAUAAUAAUAAUAAUUUAUUUUUAUUAUUAAAUUUCUUUUUGGAUAAAAAUUAAGUCAAGGUGCAGCUUAAGUUUAAGAAUGAAGUGAAUUACAUUUCUUUUUAGAAAAAAAAAUAAAUGAAACAAAUAUUAGGAUUUGAUAGUAAAAUUAAAAUAGAAAGUUAAUUUGAAUUUAGCUCUAAGAUAUGUACAUAUCGCCCGUCACUCUUUUAUAAGAUAAGUCGUAACAAAGUUAAAAUACUGGAAAGUGUUUUAA
rnacentral:rRNA from 1 species